GGUCUCCGCCAUGGAAACAUGGCGUGGUAAGGAUAAGGAUUGAUAUUGAUGUCCAUGUGAAUGGAGGUUGGCGAUAACAAAUGGCUGGGUGUGAAUAGUGGAGCUAGGUCAUAUCUUCGCAGACAGGAGUCAUUCUGAGAGCACUCGGUCACUGCCGCCUGAGAACAUGACUCAUCCAGUUAUCCAGAUAAGUUACUGGAAAAUGAGGGGGCGAGAAGCACACACUGUAGGCUACCAAUAUGUACAGUCAUACUAAGAUAAACACAGUAGUGUUUGUAUGUGUGUUAGGUACACACACACACACACACACAGAUCCACACUCACAUGAUUACACACAAAUGAUGACAAAGUGAUUCGGUGAAACAUCUUCAUCACAGUAACAUUUUACUUCUGGCAUUGACAUCCAUGUACGUAUUGUUGCAGUGGAUUUCAGGGAAAACCCAUCAGAAAAGAAGCAUUCCUAAGACUACAGGUCCUGACUACUCCUGGGGGACAAUCAAGCACAACCUGAAGAACUUUCCUUUCAUCCUGAAUGUUUACCUGCUGGUGCCAUCCAGAGUGGUCACAGACACGCGUGGACUUGGCACCAGAACCUAGAUUUAAAAGAAGUACUGAGAGAUGGAGCUCAGCACUGCAGCAAAAGGACUAGACCUAUCAUUAUGUUGGCAGGGGUCCAGGUUCAAAGCUGCUGGGUGCCUUGUUUAAGGAAAAACAGUGACCACAAUAUUCAAAUUCUGUGUCAAAACUAUCUGAUUUUAGGAUAUAAUGAUAUUUUGAAAAAAAAAAAAAAUUGCACAUGGACAUAUACAUGUAGACACUGGGG